UACGGAGGGUGCAAGCGUUAGUCGGAAUUACUGGGCGUAAAGGGUGCGUAGGUGGUUGCGUAAGUUAGGUGUGAAAGUCCCGGGCUUAACCUGGGGAUUGCGCCUAAUACUGCGUAGCUAGAGUACUGUAGAGGAAGGUGGAAUUUCCGGUGUAGCGGUGAAAUGCGUAGAUAUCGGAAGGAACAUCGGUGGCGAAGGCGACUUUCUGGACAGAUACUGACACUGAGGCACGAAAGCAUGGGGAGCAAACAGG
rnacentral:rRNA from 1 species